UGCCAGCCGCCGCGGUAAUACGGAGGGGGCAAGCGUUGUUCGGAUUUACUGGGCGUAAAGGGUGUGUAGGCGGGUAAAUAAGUGAAACGUGAAAUCCUGAGGCUCAACCUCAGAACUGCGUUUCAAACUAUUUGUCUUGAGUAUGGGGGAGGUAAGUGGAAUUCUCAGUGUAGCGGUGAAAUGCGUAGAUAUUGAGAAGAACACCAAAAGCGAAGGCAACUUACUAUCCUAAUACUGACGCUGAGGCACGAAGGCGAGGGUAGCAAACAGGAUUAGAUA
rnacentral:rRNA from 1 species